GGGGUUGUGGCUCAGUGGCGGAGCAUUUGCCUGGAAAGUAUGAGGCCCUGGGUUUGAUCCUCAGCACCA
rfam:Ictidomys tridecemlineatus contig028508, whole genome shotgun sequence.